rnacentral:rRNA from 1 species
AAGGGCACCACAAGAACGCGUGGAGCAUGUGGUUUAAUUUGACUCAACGCGGGGAAUCUUACCAGGUCCGGACACACUGAGGAUUGACAGGCGAAGAACUUUGAAAGUAACUCUUUUGUUAUGGACACUGUUCCUUAAAUUUGCUAGUCCUUUCAUGAUUGUGUGAUAGGUGGUGCAUGGCCGUUCUUAGUUCGUGGAAUAAUCUGUCUGCUUAAUUACAUGUAAGGUCUCUCAAAGGUUUCAUUGCUUCUUGCUUUGUUAAACACUGCGAUUGCAUCUUCAUGUAGACUCAUGUGCCUUCUGUGACGAACGUGACCCCAAUGCUUUUUUGUGAAGCUUCAUUUAAAUAUUCCUUUCAGGGUUAAUAUUUAAUUAACGAAACUUUGUAAUAAAAGGGGACUGCUAGGUUCAACCUAGAGGAAGGUUGGGGCAAUAACAGGUCUGUGAUGCCCUUAGAUGUUCCGGGCUGCACACGUGCUACAAUGAACAGUGCAGUAAGCUUAACUUUAAGGCUAUUCUACCUUAUUUUUUAAGGUAAGUUUAGCUGCCAACCUACUUCGAGAGAUAGUAGGCAACCAUUUGUAAGUACUGAUUUCCCAAUAAGCUUUUGCCUUCUCUUUCUUCGGAAAGGUUGGCCAUGCUCUUUUAGUUAGUAGACUUCGUAGUGGGGACAGACUACUGUUAAUUGUUGGUCUCGUUUCAACUAGGAAUGCCUUGUACUGUGAACUCAACAGGUUCACAGGAAUACGUCCCUGCCCUUUGUACACACCGCCCGUC